rnacentral:rRNA from 2 species
UUUUAUCAGAGAGUUUGAUCCUGGCUCAGGAUGAACGCUGGCGGCGUGCUUAACACAUGCAAGUCGAACGGGAAUUACUUUAUUGAAACUUCGGUCGAUUUAAUUUAAUUCUAGUGGCGGACGGGUGAGUAACGCGUGGGUAACCUGCCUUGUACAGGGGGAUAACAGUCAGAAAUGGCUGCUAAUACCGCAUAAGCGCACAGGACCGCAUGGUCCGGUGUGAAAAACUCCGGUGGUAUAAGAUGGACCCGCGUUGGAUUAGCUAGUUGGUGAGGUAACGGCCCACCAAGGC